rnacentral:lncRNA from 1 species
CUCCUAAUUUUCCAACGCCUCCAAAAAUACCCUCUCCUGUGUACACUCCCCCAAAAGCUCCUUCCCCUAGUAACAAUCCACCCUAUGUUCCUACACCUCCAAAAACACCUUCUCCUUCUUAUAAUCCUCCUAAUGUUCCCACUCCUCCCAAAACACCUUCACCUAUUUACACUCCACCAAAUGUUCCUACUCCUCCAAAAACACCAUCUCCUGCUUAUAGUCCUCCAAAUGCUCCUUCCCCUCAUAACCAACCAAAUGUUCCUACUCCUCCAAAAACACCAUCUCCUGCUUAUAGUCCUCCAAAUGCUCCUUCCCCUCAUAACCAACCUCCCUAUGUUCCUACACCUCCAAAAACACCUUCUCCUUCUUAUAAUCCUCCUAAUGUUCCCACUCCUCCCAAAACACCUUCACCUAUUUACACUCCACCAAAUGUUCCUACUCCUCCAAAAACACCAUCUCCUGCUUAUAGUCCUCCAAAUGCUCCUUCCCCUCAUAACCAACCUCCCUAUGUUCCUACACCUCCAAAAACACCUUCUCCUUCUUAUAAUCCUCCUAAUGUUNNN